CUGCCCUUCUCCGCAGGAUGUUUCUGGGUGCUGGCCUUCUUGCUCUGCUCCCUUAUUUGCCUACAGUGACGCACAGAAGAUCUCCAACAAACGGUCAACCUCCGCUUGGGCCUUCCCAGAAUCCUCUCUGUGUCUAGCCACAUCUGUCUCCAGAGCGGCGAUCUUCUCAGAUAGCUCUGAGUUCGCUUGUGCAUCAGCAGCUGCAUGUUUGGCCUGUGCGGGUCAUCCACACACAAGCUGGUUCUCCAGCUUGCUGCACUCCUCUCUACGCUGCUCCAGGGCAAUCUCGAGGCUCUUCAGCUUGGAGUCCUUCUUCAGACCGGACGAGGCCAAUGAGGACGCGUGCUCUUUCAGAUCCAGCAAGGACGUCUAGGAACAAUGAUUCAAUGGCAGCUGCUCCUGGAGGUUCUCAAUCUGGGGAUGGAACAUCAGCCACAUAGAUCUCAUUUAUGAGACAUAUCGUUCACGCACUAACAUUGUUUUAACAUCUCUGAGUUACACCUGAAGCCAGGCCUUAAAGGUGCAGUCUGCAAUUUUGUUGUCCAAUUUUAACUGUUGGCAAAUGUUAGUACCGGUAAGUAUAUUUAAUCCAAUCCCAUUAAAACGUGCAACAGCCCACUAGCUCACACCAAAAACAAGGUAACAUUAACUGACAAGCUGACAAGAUCAAGAUAGUUUACUUAUCAAAUAUCCAUUUAUCUAUAAUAAUCUGUAACAGUGACGAGAGGCCUACAUAUUAUAUAAUUAUUACAUAUUAUGAGACAUAAUAAAAAGGAGCUGGUAUGCUAAAAAAGUAAAAUGACUGCCAUUGCCAUGACAAGGCGUUUUUGUGAUGGAUCCAUUUCUAAAAACGUGCAGGGGCCCAAACUGUGCAACUGCAGCAAGUUUCAUGCUUUUAUGAAAACGUGAGCACCAUUUUCACACCACCUGGGCUAUUACUAUGAAAAUCAGCUCUUUUAGACACAUGUGUGAACAUCAAUACAACCUGACCUCCAAAUGAACCCCAUGGGCCAUUAGUUGACCUACGUACCAUGAAAAACUAGACACCAUUAGGGUUCUAAAAUGCCAAGCAGGUGCAUGGGAACAUAUUUCUCCUGCUCGCUCG